AACGAACGCUGGCGGCAGGCCUAACACAUGCAAGUCGAGCGAGGACUUCGGUCCUAGCGGCGGACGGGUGAGUAACGCGUGGGAACGUGCCCUUUGCUUCGGAAUAGCCCUGCGAAACUGGGAGUAAUACCGGAUGAGCCCUUUGGGGGAAAGAUUUAUCGGCGAAGGAUCGGCCCGCGUUGGAUUAGGUAGUUGGUGGGGUAAUGGCCUACCAAGCCGACGAUCCAUAGCUGGUUUGAGAGGAUGAUCAGCCACACUGGGACUGAGACACGGCCCAGACUCCUACGGGAGGCAGCAGUGGGGAAUCUUAGACAAUGGGGGAAACCCUGAUCUAGCCAUGCCGCGUGAGCGAUGAAGGCCUUAGGGUUGUAAAGCUCUUUCAGCUGGGAAGAUAAUGACGGUACCAGCAGAAGAAGCCCCGGCUAACUCCGUG
rnacentral:rRNA from 1 species